AAACUUACUUAGUACAGUAUGCUGUGGCAGUACUUAAAUGUGUAAUUGUUCCCUGAUGUGAAUUGCCUUCAGUAGAUGGAGAGAGAUGGAGAAUAAUUUGUCUUGCCAAAGCUUCACAAACAAGUGAAUGUCACAGGUGUGGGCUUAACUCCAGAGAUCCUGAACUCCUUGUGUCUUGUGGACAGCCUCAUGCUCUGCUGCACACUGGCAGGGGACAAAGAGACAGAAGGGAAUGGUGAAAUAAUCAGGAGAAGAUAAGUAACGUGCUACUUUUGAAUCCUAGAUCGAUCACUACUUGAAUAAUCCAGAGAGCCCAGCAGAUUUAAUUCCUGUGAGAUUUCUAGAUCUGGGACUUACUCAAGGUCAGCCAGCCUGGACAACCAGCACAGCAAUGACAUGAGUUAAUCAUUUAGCUAUAAUGGUGUUAACUCACGUGAAAUACAGUGGCAGCAUCUCACUGAAACUGAAAGAAAAUUUUCACAUGGGUCUGACUACAUUGAUCAUGAAGUUGAAUGGAACGUGAACCUGCAAGCAAGUGCCUUACAGAUAUGUGCUUUGACCUGAGGUUUCUUCCUUCACAGAGAAGAUCUACAGUAGGUUCUGGAUAGCUGAACAGCCUGAGAGACAUCCAUGCUGGGAGAUAAUCUUAUGCCUUUCUCUUGAUCACUAACUCCCAAUAUACUCUCCGUCUGGCUUUUGCUAUGUUCUUAAGGGAUUCCCUCUGAAAACAAAACUGAGGUACAACCAGAACAGUUUUAUGUGGAACCUGUAUUAUCCUGAAUAGUGGGAAGCAGAUGAAAUCCAGGUUGUGAAAAAUUGAAGAAAAACAGCACUCCUGUACCUUAUCCCAGCUCCAUUUACUCUAAGAGAUCAGUUUG